CCCGAGGCCCGGGCCGCACUCACCGAAGUCCAGGAACUGCUUCAUGGAGAGCGGGGACGGCGAGAAGCGCGCGUAGAAGUCCACCUGGCCCGGGACGCCGCCUUCGGGCGCCGGGCCGGAGCCCGAGUCCGAGGGGAGGAAACUGAGACCCAAAGAGUUUCAGGAGCAGACCCUUGCAAAGCAGUGGUUUCGCUUGAAGGACAACAUUGACCAUCUGGAAACAAGUGUAGGUAGUUGAGGAGUUGGGGUGGAAACAUAUUUUCCAAAAGUGAUGCCUCUAAUAAUUCUUUCAGGUCAUAAGGCCAUGGAACAGCCCUUUGAUAUAUAACUCGAUUGAACAAUGUCUGCCCUCCCAGGAAAUUCUGCAUCCUAGCCUGGCAACUCAUGAAGAGUUGAAACCGAGCAGGACCCUGUGGGGCCCCUCCCAGCUGACCAAAGGUUUAUGGCUCAAACCUGCUACUUGGAACCCCAGGAUUGAGACAGUCAUCUCUGAAAAUAGAAGAUUACCUCCUCCCCAGCACAUAGCCCCCUCCUCUUAUCCCUGUAUAAUCUCCAAGCAAAACCUGGGGAGUUGGGAGUUGGUUCUUUGGGACGUGAGUCCACCUUCUCUAGGAUUGCCAGCUUCCUUAAUAAAGCUAUCUUUUCUUUUACCCAACACUUCUCUCUCACAAUUGGAUU